rnacentral:rRNA from 1 species
GACGAACGCUGGCGGCGUGCCUAACACAUGCAAGUCGAGCGGAGGUAGACAAGGAGUAAUCUGAGUUUACCUUAGCGGCGGACGGGUGAGUAACGCGUGAGCAACCUGCCUUUCACAGGGGGAUAAGGCGGCGGAAGCCGCUCUAAUACCGCAUGAGACCACGGUGAUGAUAUUACAGGGGUCAAAGGAGCAAUCCGGUGAAAGAUGGGCUCGCGUCCGAUUAGGUAGUUGGUGGGGUAGAGGCUCACCAAGCCAAUGAUCGGUAGCCGGCCUGAGAGGGUGAACGGCCACAUUGGAACUGAGAGACGGUCCAAACUCCUACGGGAGGCAGCAGUGGGGAAUAUUGGGCAAUGGGCGAAAGCCUGACCCAGCAACGCCGCGUGAAGGAAGAAGGUUUUCGGAUUGUAAACUUCUGUUCUUGGGGAAGAGAAGAAGACGGUACCCAAGGAGGAAGCCCCGGCUAACUACGUGCAGCCGCCGCGGUAA